UCGCAACCGACAACGAAACCUCCUUUUGCAACUUGUGACGAGUGCCGACAUUUACCUUUUGAUACGUCGAACACCAUGGAGGAGGAGAACCACGGCAAGAUUGGCAACCUGCCGGUCAAUGAGCGGACUCUUUUUUGGCGGGGGCAAUGCGCGGCUCUAAGGUACGGAGAGGAGGAGAGGAGAUUAGGCGGAGAUUCGAAUGCGUUUCUUGAAAGUAAACAAAGAAUAGGCUUCUUGCGAUGCUUUUCGCGAUUAGGCAGCGGGGAGCAGAUUGUGUUUAGGCGGAAGAGGAGGGGGAAAAAGAGAUGAGAGAUGAAAAGCAAAUUCCUGCGACGUUUCCCGGAACCAGGCACCGUCACAGCGAUCGCCGGGAGGAGACUGUGACUGGGGACCCUUUUUGAAGGGCGGAAGGCCUCGUUGUUCUAGCGCGAUAGCACGAUCGGUUCACCCUCCUCUUCCUCCUUCUGGCGCCUCGUCGAAUUGCAUUAUCGAUCGAAAGGGGAAUAAAAGGAGGUGAUAUCCAACUCUCUCACCCUGAUGGGAAGGUGCCCGCACGGGCUCCUUUUCCGUUUGUUAAGAAGAGAACACCGAUGAAAGCUUGGCCUGGGGAAUCGGACGGUUGAAACUUAUGCGAACGUCGGGAUCUGCAAUUCCCCUUGUUUUGUUGAAGUCGAAGCAGAGGCAGCCAGCGUCCACUUGGUGUGCUGCAGGUUCGACAUCAACGACGUUCGCUUGUGCGCACCGAAGAAAGAAUCCACUUUUAACCUCUAUGAACAGUAUUUAUUGAAAUACUCUUUGGGAACAGGAUUUAUUGCCUUUGAGGAGAAAACAAUUUGAGAUCGUGUCGCAUUAAAUGGUGAUGUUUUGGUUGGAACUCGAUCAUGGUUUGGAGGAUUUCUUUACUGCAUUGGUAAUAAACGGCAAGCUGAAGAAAAUAGAACAUUUCAUGUUGAACAGCAGGCAUCGGCUGAUACUACUACCAUGUUCUCUUGAUGAAACAAGAUUACAAAAGCUUAAGGAAUGCUUGAAUGUACCAUUUGAUGAGUGUCACGCAGAUCAUCAGGAAGCCCUCAGAGCUCUUCGGCACGCAUCCUUUCCUGAAGUAAAACUUACAGGACUCAAAUCGGAGCAAUGGAAGGACAUGGGAUGGCAAGGGCCAAAUCCAUCAACUGAUUUCAGUCGCGCCAAUAAUUAGUGCAUGCCGUUGGCUCCGGCUGGCCGCGCGCGCGAGAGCGGGGAAGGAUCGAGAUCGACAGAUGGAGAGUCGUAGAGAUGAGGCGAAUAGAAACGGUUCCAACUCCAGUUCGACAUUCCCCGCCACCGCCCUCCAGAUCGAGCUCCCCCCAACUCGACGAGAUCUGCCUCACCGUCCACUUCAACAACUGGUACUUCUUCUUCGUUAAUUGUCUGUCCAUUUGUUUAUCGACAGCCCUAGGUUUGGAAUCGCGCACGCCCUUUUGCCUGGGCCUUGCACCGUGGCUCGCCGCCGAGGUGCCGCCGAUUCUUGGGGAUUUGGGGCGUUCUCAAGCACAAAGAUGACGAGGUCCCUCAUGGGUUGACUUACUUGAGCCAUCAUCAAUGGAGAGCGUUCACGAUGAGGGGUGUGUUUAGCUCGGAACCAAGGCUGGUUGGCUGUGGAUGGAUCGUAAAAGCAAUAUCUCAAACUAACUAGCAGAUUGAGAUGCCAUGUUAAUGUACCACAAAGCAUUGAUGGAAGCAGGUUUUCGAAUGCGAGGCCAUACUGAAAUUUUGAUCAUCUGCGACAUCUCCAAAUGAGUUCUUGAGCUAUUUGUCUUUUCUCAUUUGGUCAAUAUUGUUUUUGUUCAAGCAGAAAAGUAUGUGUGAGGUUGUGAACUCAGUUCUAAACAUUCAAGCAUC